AUACGGAGGGUGCAAGCGUUAUCCGGAAUCACUGGGUUUAAAGGGUGCGUAGGCGGCUUGAUAAGUCAGGGGUGAAAGCUCACUGCUCAACAGUGGAAUUGCCUUUGAUACUGUCAGGCUAGAAUGGGCGCGAGGCAAGCGGAAUGUGACAUGUAGCGGUGAAAUGCAUAGAUAUGUCAUAGAACACCAAUUGCGUAGGCAGCUUGCCAGAGCCGCAUUGACGCUGAGGCACGAAAGCGUGGGGAGCGAACAGGAUUAGAUACCCUGGUAGUCCACGCCCUAAACGAUGUUUACUCGACGUACGCCCAUAGAGGUGUGCGUCCAAGCGAAAGCGCUAAGUAAACCACCUGGGGAGUACGCCGGCAACGGUGAA
rnacentral:rRNA from 1 species